AUAUGAAAAGAAGAAGAAAUGACCCAACUGAGAAUUGAUGACAUGUUUUACUCAUUACCAACAACACACCCUGUUUUUUUUGUAUUCUUUUUCUUUUCCAGAAACGCCAAUGAUUUCAGACACCUUGAGAAGAAGGUGAGAGA
rnacentral:ribozyme from 14 species